rfam:Schistosoma curassoni strain Dakar, Senegal genome assembly, scaffold: SCTD_scaffold0008956
AUCCAACUGACGGGUCCUAAAUAGGACGAAACGCGCGUCCUGGAU